rnacentral:rRNA from 1 species
UAAGGCUGAGACACGACGUCGAGCAUCUACGGAUGUGAAGUCAUUGAUGCCAUGCUUCCAGGAAAAGCCUCUAAGCUUCAGAUUGUAAGGAAUCGUACCCCAAACCGACACAGGUGGUCGGGUAGAGAAUACCAAGGCGCUUGAGAGAACUCGGGUGAAGGAACUAGGCAAAAUGGUACCGUAACUUCGGGAGAAGGUACGCUCUCGACGGUGAAGUCCCUCGCGGAUGGAGCUAUUGAGAGUCGCAGAUACCAGGUGGCUGCAACUGUUUAUUAAAAACACAGCACUGUGCAAAAUCGUAAGAUGACGUAUACGGUGUGACGCCUGCCCGGUGCCGGAAGGUUAAUUGAUGGGGUUAGACUUCGGUCGAAGCUCUUGAUCGAAGCCCCGGUAAACGGCGGCCGUAACUAUAACGGUCCUAAGGUAGCGAAAUUCCUUGUCGGGUAAGUUCCGACCUGCACGAAUGGCGUAAUGAUGGCCACGCUGUCUCCACCCGAGACUCAGUGAAAUUGAAAUCGCUGUGAAGAUGCAGUGUACCCGCGGCUAGACGGAAAGACCCCGUGAACCUUUACUACAGCUUGGCACUGAACAUUGACCCUACAUGUGUAGGAUAGGUGGGAGGCUUUGAAGCACGUACGCCAGUAUGUGUGGAGCCGUCCUUGAAAUACCACCCUUGUAGUGUUGAUGUUCUAACGUCGACCCCUUAUCGGGGUUGCGGACAGUGCCUGGUGGGUAGUUUGACUGGGGCGGUCUCCUCCCAAAGAGUAACGGAGGAGCACGAAGGUGGGCUAAUCACGGUUGGACAUCGUGAGGUUAGUGCAAUGGCAUAAGCCCGCUUGACUGCGAGAAUGACAAUUCGAGCAGGUGCGAAAGCAGGUCAUAGUGAUCCGGUGGUUCUGAAUGGAAGGGCCAUCGCUCAACGGAUAAAAGGUACUCCGGGGAUAACAGGCUGAUACCGCCCAAGAGUUCAUAUCGACGGCGGUGUUUGGCACCUCGAUGUCGGCUCAUCACAUCCUGGGGCUGAAGUCGGUCCCAAGGGUAUGGCUGUUCGCCAUUUAAAGUGGUACGCGAGCUGGGUUUAGAACGUCGUGAGACAGUUCGGUCCCUAUCUGCCGUGGGCGUUGGAAGAUUGAAGGGGGCUGCUCCUAGUACGAGAGGACCGGAGUGGACGAACCUCUGGUGUUCGGGUUGUGUCGCCAGACGCAUUGCCCGGUAGCUAAGUUCGGAAUCGAUAACCGCUGAAAGCAUCUAAGCGGGAAGCGAGCCCUGAGAUGAGUCUUCCCUGAUACUUUAAGUAUCCUAAAGGGUUGUCGGAGACUACGACGUUGAUAGGUCAGGUGUGUAAGUGCUGUGAGGCAUUGAGCUAACUGAUACUAAUUGCCCGUGAGGCUUAACCAUACAACACCCAAGGGGUUU